AGCAUGUCUGUAAAAAUAGAAUUAAAAACCAUGCAGUAUCUAGCAUAUCGCAAUUGCUACAACAGGCAGAAAAGCCAUUAAGUGGUCCACCAAGACACUCAGCAAUUUCCAAGUGCUUCAUUGGCAGAGAUGUGAAAGCCUGGGGAAACUGGAGUGGGAAAUGGGGCCCUCCGCAUUUUGCUGGGGGUUUUUUAUUCACAGGUCUUCAUAUUGAUAUUGGGGGGAAGCAGUUAGGAACCACUGCCCUCUGCUAAGGGCAGCAGGCUAGCUUAGGGGAUGCAGAUAUCUUUUCCCUGUAAGAUACUCUUAAUUGUUUAAGGCAGUUCUUACCCCAUUGUAUCCCACCACUAGAACGACUUCCAAUGUGGCUGAGAGCAAACAUCAGAACAGUCAAUCAUCCGUCUCAUAUCCUCCCACGUGCACCCUUUUUUAAACAUCCAUCCAUCCAUUAUCCAAUCAUGAAUAUUUUUAUGUUGCAUAUAUGAAUGUUCUAUGUUCUUGCCAGCUAAUUAUGAGACAACAAGAAUAGUGUUCUGGCUUUUCUAGGAAUGGAAUUGAAGAUGCAUACACACACAAAUACGCAUGUACAUAGUUAUUAUUAUUUAUUGAAUUUAUAUACCGCCCUAUACCCGGAGGUCUCAGGGUCACAGAACAAAAACAAAAUAUAAAUCCACAAAAUAUAUAAUCAAAAUAACAACCCAAUAAUCCCCCCCAAAGAAAACCCCACAUUUUAAAAGGGCAUAGGAUGUCAAUCAAAUCAACCAAAGGCCUGGUUAAAGAGGAACGUUUUUGCCUGGUGCCUAAAGGUGUAUAAUGAAGGUGCCAGACAAACUUCCCUGGGGAGAGCAUUCCACAGGGAGCCACUGCAGAAAAGGCCCGUUCUCGUGUUGCCACCCUCUGGACCUCUCGAAGAGGAGGCAUAUGAAGAAGGGCUCAGAAGAUGAUUUUGGGGUCCAGGUAGCUUCCUAUAAUCACGUUCCUAUAGAAGCCAAAGUACCGCUCCUGUUAUCUCAUAAUUAACUGGCAUCAGCAGAGGAUGUUCAGCUCAUUUCUUCUUCCAAUCAGGACAGCUGCUAAGUGUCUGAGGACUAGGAAUCUCAAACGCUUGAAUAAGCACUUUAAAAAAAAUUUGUAGAUUUAUUUAGAACUUUUGUAUUCCGCUCUUCAGCCUGAAAAGGCUCCCAGAGCAGCUUACAAACCAUCAGUUGAAACAAGACAGUCCCUCCUGCAGGCUUGCGACUGAAAAGACACAACACACAAGGGAACAGGGACAGGGAGGAGGGGGAACUGAGGUGCCAAUUGCUGAAGUUAAAUAGCAGCUCUUACAGUGAGCAGCUGGAAUCAGUUGAGGGACACGAGGUGACUGAUGGAGUUGACCUUUCAGAUCAGUUGUCCCUACAGCUAACUUACAAGGCAAGAUGUGUCUGGAGAGCAGGCUGCUUCAUAUGGGCUAACCUGUGUGCUACUGUUGAUGCCUUUCCCUUCCCAGCUGUUCAAUCUUUCUAAUGUCUUUUAUUCUCCUAAGUUCAGUGGUGCAAUGCAAUUACACUAUUGAGAAAGCCAUAUUUGUUGGUAGAAUGAUUAUUAGAAGGAAAGUGGGAAAGCUCCCACAUGUUGAUUAUAAAUAUUUGUUGAUAAAAAGGAACUCAUAAGUGAGAAAUAUUUAUUGGGAAAUAACUGUGUAAUGCUGUAUAUUCUGUACAACCAUGUAUAAAGAUCUCCACAUUUGAUGUAAUCAGUGAUGUAUGCUAAAAACAGAAGACGAUCAUCAUGGGUUAGAUCUGUUAUGGACAAAACUCCUGCUUCCCCGACACCUUAGAAUUGCACCUUUACUAUUAAAUGGAAAAUUAUUUUGUGAGUAACACAUUUCCCUAGAAAAUCACUGUGAAACUGCAUACAAUUUGUCAAUUUCAUCACCUGAGAGCCAAGUCACAUAUUAUGUGGCAGCCAGUUUGCACUAGCACCCUCCAUUGUUUCCCCUAGCAAGCAUCAAAUGUUUCAUGUGAUUAGAGGUUUCUUAAACAGAGGUUGGAUAGCCAUCUGUCAGGGAUUCUUUAGCUGAGCUUCCUGCAUUGCAGGGGGUUGGACUAGAUGACCCUUGGGAUCCCUUCCAACUCUACAAUUGCACGAUUCUAGGAGCAUCACCAGAGAACCAGAACUGGCUGCAGCCCCCUGUCACAUGCCCAUGGCGUGUUCAGGAAUAUGCAUUUGCCCCUUGUACUUCGUUGCAUUUAUUACUCCAGUGUAACCUGGCUGACACAUAAAGUGUGAAAUAUUCUUACAUUCUAGUGGUGAUGCAUAGAAGUGAUUGGGAGAAGAACGGACUUGCUGAAAACCAAUCAGAAGGAAUCUGAUCACAGACUAUUGUCUUGACAAAGAACCCAGAGCCUGCAAAGCAUACCAAACAGUUUAUCUAUUUAAUGUUUCAAUGAGCUCUAGUAGCUUUGGGCUUCUGCUUGUUCCCUCUGAGAGAAUUCCACUAUCUUGAAAGCAUCAGAGAUUCAAAGGAAAGGCUGGUUUUGUUAAAAACAGAAUGUGCAGCAAAAGGUAGAUUGCAAAUAUUUUGCUCGCUCUGCAUAUUUCAGUGCUUGCUCCACAGCUAAAGGUGCAUUUACACCUACCUUCUCAAGCGGCAGAAAUUAACUCAAGAGGCAACUUCAGCGGUAAAGUACGGCACUUCUGUGCUGUCCACACUGCCAACUCAGUGGUGAGUAAACUGCUACUUAUUUUGGUGCAUUCACACCUACUGGGAUUAAGUACUUUCAUGCUGAAGUGACUGAUGCUGUUUCAGAGGGUAAAUGUUAAUGGCCUUAGGAGAUGGAGAUAUUUCUGAAUACACUGUUUUGUUUUGUUUUUCCAAGAACAAUUCUAUGAUCUUCUCAAGUGGCACCCACUGUGUGCAUGGUGGUUUUUUUUAAAAAAAAUCAACAACCAGUUAAUAUUGUACAUGGUAUUAAUCUGCAAAUUUUGAAAUCACUGAGCAGAGUUGUGUUAUCAAAAGAAACUGUGCUAAACUCAUAUUUUUUUAUAUCUGUGGCGUUUUCCUAUUAGUACAGAGUGGUGAACGAGUAUCCUUGUAGCUGACUUGCAAGAGUGAAAUAUUCAGAGUAAAUAUGAACAUGCAGAAAAUAUUUGUAAUGUUAACCAUUCUGACGAUUUAUUUAAAAUAGUCUGCCAAAGAUCAUUCUCUAAAUAUCUGUAAUGUGUAUUUUCUCUCUCUUGUUAUGGAUCUCGUUGUGGCUAUGGCUACUCGAUCACCUGCACUCUUCCUUGAGAUUCACUCUUUUGUACGAUGAAGUGGAAAGAGGGUCAGACAUUUUAUUUUAUGGCAGAGGGUAGCUUUUCAUUGGCUAACAGCCAUUGAAAAGAAAUGCAUUAUAAUAUGUGAAUAGCAUCUCGAAAAAGUAGGCUGGAAGGAACCUCAAUGAUUAUUUAGUGGAAGGGUGCUCUGCACUGAGGCAGGAUCAAGUAAACAAACGUUGCACAACUGCAGGCUCUAGCCCUAAUACAGCAAAGGGUGACCCAUGCACAAAGGGUUGUUUAAGGAGCACAACAUCCUUCCCGUUCAAAAAUCCAGUCUGCACAUGCCAGGGAGAUCCCAAUCAAGAGGCCAACAAGCACAAGAGCAGGUGGUGUGCCACUAAUGUGCUCAUUGACACCUAGACUGGUCUUUUACCUUGCUGUGGAAGGAAAGCAGUUGGGUCACUCCCGUCUAUUAAUCAUUGGCUCCAGGGAGCAGGGUCUGUGUGAGGGCUAUUAUGCUCAUAAAUCUAUGGAUCAGGGCAUUUGGCUGCAACCUAGAAUAUCAAGAGCCAUGCCUAUAUCUGAGCUUUCAUUGUCAUUUCUGCUGCAGAGGUUCAUACUGCUGAAGAGGAUAGCAGCUGCUCAGUUUGAAAAUUGGCUUGUCUCUUCAGUUGUCAGAACUGCUGGAACGGAAGCUUCAGCACAAUAUCCGGCUAUGUGCACAGUUCUCUGCUGUGCAAGCAAAUCACUUCUCUGCACUGUAGCCAGCUAAUUUCGCUAAUAUAUUUAACUGAGACACCUCCCCACAAACACCUGUAAUCCAGAAAGAUCUGAAGACACCACUCGUGACUUUGAUCAUAGAAACACUUGCAUAGUUUAUUUAUUUUACAUACCUAGCCUGGUUUUAGUCCAAUAACAAUGGAUUUAAAAGGAUACAAUAUCAUCAUUCUAAUAUUAAAUUUAGAAUCAAUUUUUGAUUGAAACCUAAAAAUAUGGUGUUGCUGGUGCUAUACAUAUUUGGCCCAGCCACCAAAUCUAACAGAAAGAUCUUGCAAUGGUUGCAUUUCCACAUUAUUAGUUAAAUUCAAACCUAAUUGUCAUGACUAAGAACCCAAGGAAUUAUAGCUCUCUGCAGGAGGUGGCAUUCUCUAAGAUUUUUCAGAAGCUUUGGAGAAUUACAGUUCCUGGGAUUCUGCAGGGGAGGGGAGCCAUGGCAAUUAAUUCAUAUUGAAACCAGUUAGAAUUCAGUCUUAGGCUUCAGUGGGAUGUAAUUCCAUAAUUGUGGGACAGCCACCAAGAAUGCCUCUCCAUGCAUCCUCCCUGUCUAAACAUAAUAUAUGGAUGGGGUAAAUAGCUUUAAAUCAUUAGCUUGCUCCUUAAAGGUUUACAGCACUGCUGUCCUGUGCUGAGAAAACACCACAGUGCAGAUCUGACAGAUUUUUAAAACCCUAAAGAGGCUGAUAUAGACCACUUCCCCUAAAACAUUAUGUUAUAAACAACAACGCACUAGGAGAUAAAUUUCAUCCUAAAGUAAUACAUACUAAAGAGAAUUACAUUGCAAGUCAUAUAGAGUUGAAUUACAACUUAUAUAGGUCAAGUUGGCAGGUUUGUCUAGAACAGUGUUUCUCAACCUGUGGGUCACCAGAUGUUGUUGGACUACAACUCCCAUCAUCCUUGACCACAGGUCAUGCUGGCUAGGAAUGAUGGGAGUUGUAGUCCAACAACAUCUGGAGACCCACAGGUUGAGAAACACUGGUGUAGGAUAAGGGUGCUGCCUGUAGCAAUCCUAUUAAGGGGAACUCCUAGGUUCUGUAUCUCCUAGGUGUUGCUCCUUCCCCCAAAAUAGAUGAGAAUCCCCCAGAACAAAGAAUUAUAUGUUCACAUAAGAAUAAAUGAAGAACUCUGGAUUGGAGGAGAAGAUGGAGUUAAUUCUCUCACCAUGAUAUGUGCUUAAAAAUACUGAUUCAGAUGUUCGGUUGGAACCAGCCCUUGUAUGUUUAGAGUAGAUCCCCUGAAAUCAGUGGCACUUGAGUUAGUCAUCACUACUCUAAGCAUGGACUAGGGCUACAGUCCUAUACACAACUACCAGGAAGUUAAGUCCCAAUGAACUCAGUAGGACUGUAAAUCAAUAUGCACUGUAAAUCUGUGCAUAGGAUUGCAUUGCAAAUAAUAUAUUCAAAACAUAAGGCUUAUAUUAUAUUAUAGUACAUUGUUUUAAUGAAAGCUUAUUACAGUUACAGGGCAGAGAAAACCUGCCAGAACAAACAUACCAAAUUAAAUUCACACAACCCUGUGGCUUUGCAAGACAGAAAAGGAGGAGAGAGAAUUAAUUCACAAAAUUAAUUUUCACUUAAGAUAGCAUCCCUUGAAAGCAAUGGACUUUUCUUACCCAUUGUGAUUGUUUUUAGGCUUGUUUCUUCUUCAAGUAAGAUGAACUCUGGUGUAAUCUUUUCAAAAAGGGAACAUGUAAACAUUUUGGGCUCAGGUAUUUUAUUUCUGAGCAGAGCCAUAAUUUCUUAUUUAAAAAUAAUAAAGGAACUUUAUAAGAAUUCAUUGGUUUAAGGGUACCGAAUCCAACAAAGCACUUAAGGCGGUGCUUUUAGGUGGAUCAGGAGCCUAUUAAAUACCAUAAUGUAUAAAGUGUAUUUUCUAAGUUUUAAUGUUUGUGUUUUGUGACUCAAGAUGCCCAAUCUGGUCAGUCUUUAAAAAUAAAAUAAAGAGUAAACCUAACAUCGUGACUAUAUAUGUCGAGAAGCUGGACAUUAAAUGAACGUGAUGUUCGCAUAGCAUUGUUGUUAUAUCCAUGUGAUUUUAAAAUGGUUAGCAAUUUUUGUAGCCAUGGGAACGACAUGAAGAUGAAAACCUAGUACUAUGUACGAUCAUCUCUCUGUGUCCACCAGAACCCAACUGCGGUGUGACGGGUCAUUGAAAAAGAUUCAUGCAAGUUGGCUUGAAGAAGAAGAAGAAGAAAACAACAACCUGGGUUUAUGAUCACUGUGCAUUUUGUUAACAAGUGAAUUCAAAUAGUUUUAUUUUUACCAAAACUGAUAAUCUUUAUUCCAGUGUAAAUGCAAUUGCUGAUUUAAAAAGAAAAAAGAAACAAACAAAAUAUAUGUAUAUUAUUUGGAUGGUUUAUAUCAUCUUUGUCUAAAUACAUUAUAAUGGAAAUAUGUUAAAAGGUGUGUCAUACCACAGUACAAAAAUAAAUGACUUUUUUCCUGCAUGCUUGCCUGAGGUAUGUUGUGAUUUGAAUUGCCUUAUAAGCCAAACGAAACGAAAGAGGAAAAAAGAAGGUUGUAUGUUACUACAUAACUCAGAAAUGCUUGGACAUUGUUUCAUCACAUUACAUGUGUAUUUGAUGCUGUGUUGUGUCAAAAUUCGGACAAGUUGUCUGUCAUUCUAUGUAUGUUGUGAGAGACCUUUUAUCUUGUUAAGCUGUAUUGUGUAAACCUCUCAUUGCCUGAAAUAGUCAGAGUUGUAUAACUCAGUGUCUCCAACUAACUGUUUCCUAAACUUAACACAUUUCCUAACACUAAAAUAUAGAUGUUUGUAAAUUCUUCAUUCA